UGCCGCGCAGUUAGGCAGCAGCAGUGGAGCAGUAGCCGCCUUGGGAGGGAGCCAUGAAGCACUACGAGGUGGAGAUUCUGGAUGCAAAGACAAGGGAGAAGCUGUGUUUCUUGGACAAGGUGGAGCCCCACGCCACCAUUGCGGAGAUCAAGAACCUCUUCACCAAGACCCAUCCACAGUGGUACCCCGCCCGCCAGUCCCUCCGCCUGGACCCCAAGGGCAAGUCCCUGAAGGAUGAGGAUGUUCUGCAGAAGCUGCCCGUGGGCACCACGGCCACACUCUACUUCCGGGACCUGGGGGCCCAGAUCAGCUGGGUGACGGUGAGUCCUGACCCUACCCACGGCCUCUUUUCCCGUCAGCCACAUUGGGUGACUCAUCUUGCCCCCCUCUACCCUCAGGUCUUCCUAACAGAGUACGCAGGGCCCCUUUUCAUCUACCUGCUCUUCUACUUCCGAGUGCCCUUCAUCUAUGGCCAUAAAUAUGACUUCACGUCCAGUCGGCACACAGUGGUGCACCUCGCCUGCAUCUGCCACUCGUUCCACUACGUCAAGCGCCUGCUGGAGACGCUCUUCGUGCACCGCUUCUCCCAUGGCACCAUGCCUUUGCGCAACAUCUUCAAGAACUGCACCUACUACUGGGGCUUCGCCGCGUGGAUGGCCUAUUACAUCAAUCACCCUCUCUACACGCCCCCUAGUAAGUGGCCUCAGACCGUCCUUCCUUCCCCCACGGUCCCCACCCAGCGGGUACUCCCCUCAUGGGCCUCCCCUCCCUGCUUCCUCUUCAGCCUACGGAGCUCAGCAGGUGAAACUGGCGCUCGCCAUCUUUGUGGUAAGGAGGCUGGGUGUGGGGACGGGGUCGGGGGAGUCUGGGCGGCCCUAGGCUGAUCCUGCUUCUCUGACAGAUCUGCCAGCUCGGCAACUUCUCCAUCCACAUGGCCCUGCGGGACCUGCGGCCCGCUGGUGAGUGCCUGCUGGGGGCAGGGGGACAGCUGGGCUGGGUGAGGGGGUCUGACUUUCUCCUUCUGUCCUGCCUGCCAGGGUCCAAGACCCGGAAGAUCCCAUACCCCACCAAGAACCCCUUCACGUGGCUCUUCCUGCUGGUGUCCUGCCCCAACUAUAC
rnacentral:sRNA from 1 species